AUACUCUGGUUCCUCUUCAGAUCAUAUAAAUCCUUUGUCUUUUACUAAAGAUUUCCGUAGAGAGGAACAUUUAUGAAUGUCACAUCUUGCUGAUUGUAUUUACUCACUCUGUGUAAU